rnacentral:rRNA from 1 species
AUGCCGCCGUUAGCCGAGUCGCUGCUGCCGCCGGAUGAGCUGAUGACGGAUGUGUUCCUGUAGCUGCCCGUCAAAUCCCUCCUCCGCUUCCGGACCGUCUGCCGCUCCUGGGCCGCGCUGCUCUCCUCCGACGAGUUCUGCGGCCUCCACAGGGCCAAGGUCGAGGCCGAGGCAGCACCGUCACCCAAGCUGCUAUUCAUCUCGCCGGCCGCGAGCUUCGACUCCACGGGGAUUUACUCGUGCUCGCCAUCAGGCAACGGUCUCCUGCUCACUCUCAACGACGUGCGUGGUGACCAUGUGGACAUGACGCCUGCGCCGUGCCACGGCCUCACCCUCUUGCAUGACGCCGUUGAGCCAGCCUACUAUGUUUUCAACGCGACCACACGGGCCGUCACCCGGCUGCCGCCUUGCCAAGACUCCUUCAUGGCCAUUGCUUGUCUCGGAUUCGAUUCCAGGAGGAGGGACUACAAGGUAGUGAGGUUGUUUUUCGAGAAACACUUCGGGGUUGAUAAUAUCAAGUGCGAGGUGUACGCCCUUGGUGGCGAGCACGGGGAUCGCUGGAUGCCGGCUGCCGGUGGUGUGCCCUUUAGGUUCUGCAAGUUUGCCGCUGAUGCGAUAAUCGCAACACGGAGUGAAGCUAAGCUGAUGCCGGUGUUCGCAGACGGAUUUCUGCACUGGGUUGUCGACUCGCCUCUUUUCCUCGCAAAGCCAAGAGCUGCCGUCUUAUCGUUCUCUCUCGCAGAUGAGACCUUUAGAUGGUUCAGGUCACCAAUCUUCGAGGUCCCAGGAGUGCACCUGGUGGAGCUUGAUGGCCACUUGUGUAUGGUCCGGGACCUCCGUCCCGAUACUAGUAUUAUGGAGAUUUGGGAAAUGCAGGACUGCAACUCUGGUGAUUGGACGUUGGCACAUCGUAUUGAUUUGUUACAACAUGUUCAAAGAGGUUUGACGGAGCCGCAAAUUAUUAGAGUCAUUGGGUCUGUUGGCAACUGUGGAUCAAGGAACAAGGUAAUCUUGGCUACAUCCAAACGCAAGGUGAUCACCUAUGACCCAGUAUCUGCAACUCUGGAAACCGUUCUUGCAAUCAGAGAAACUCAUUCACCUUACGAAACCAAGCAAUCUGCUCCUAGAGUCAGUUUAUUUAAAGAGAAUCUUGCUCCGGUGCACAGAACAAAUGAAGAGAUAGACUCGGGUUCUCCCCUGGCCAAGGCAACUAAGGAGAUCCUACUCCGACUCCCGGGUAAUUUUGCAGUGCAGUUCAAGCUGGUCAGCAAGCAGUGGCUUACAUUGAUCGAGAGUCGAAGCUUCAUGCGCUCUUACUAUGAGCAUAACAACAACAUAGACAGGAGGCCCAAGAUCAUGCUUGUGGGCAAGGGUGCUAGAGGUCUGGGUUUCAGUUUUGCUCCCAUGGGUAAAUUGCUUCAAGAGGCUCCUAGUCAAGGAACAUGGCUUGACACAAGGGUGGUUUGCUCCAAGCCUUGUCAUGGCAUGAACCUGUUAAGUACUGAGAGUGAGGACUAUCUCUACAACCCUUGCACAGGAUACCACACUCAAGGGAGGCUCGCCUAUGUGCCCAACCAUAUACUCUCGAUGAUGCACGACAGUGUCCAUACACCAGAAGAUCAUGCUUUUGGUGUUGGCAACAGGAAUGUUGGCCUGGGGUUCAAUCAUCUGACACGGGAGCAUGUCAUUGUUCAAAUCUUAUAUCACUUGAAGGACUUUGAAUCUCGUCAAUAUUUAUUUACAUUCUCAGUAAUUGCCACUGGAUCGGUGCAAGACCACUUUCAGCCGCCUCUUCCUGUAAAUGACAUGCCACCAACCUAUCUGUCAGGAGUACUAUAUUGGAUGAGUGAACCAAGGUUAGGCCAGAGUUAUGAGAGGGCCAUUGUGUCUUAUAACAUUGCGACUAGGAUGUUUGGUGUCAUCUCCUGCCCCUCAAGCAUCGCAGUGUGGAGCAGCACAAGUCCAUCCCAAGCAUUUGUGGUAGAGCUUGAGGGGAUAUUAUGUGCUGUUCAUGCAGAUCCAGUUGCAGAUGAGUUGGAUAUUUGGAAGCUGGAACAUGGUCGAUGGGAUAGAGCAUGUAAAAUAUAUUUAGAAGACUGCCCAGGCUAUUCCCUUGGAGCAAAUGGUGUGGUUCCCUUGGCCGUUGACCCCAAGGAUGGGAGAAUCAUGCUGAACACAGGGAGGAAAUUGGGUCUUUAUGAUCCAACAAAGCAAUCGAUUGAGAACUUGUAUGAUCUUGAUGAGGUCUUGCAUGUCACAAGUUCAGAGCAGUCUCCACGCGUUGGAGUGUAUGAAGAUGUCUAGAUAACCAAAUGCGGACAUCAUGUCGAGAAGUUCUGCCCGCCGAAGUCACCUUUGGAGCAGCCCGCGUUUUUCGGUGAGCCUUCACCUAAAUUAUCUGGGAAGCAAUUUACGUGCUCCAAUGGCGUUCAACCUUUGGAGGGGAGAACUCCUCUGGACAGUAAAGUUAUGCCUCUGGUCCCAAUGUUAUACGAGGAGAGCUUGGCAAGCUUUCCAUUCUUCGCAAAACUAGGUGGUUAA